rnacentral:rRNA from 1 species
AUGCUCGCGGAGGUCCAGCAACGACUCCUGCAGGCCCAGCAGUUGGCCAAACGUUACUAUGAUGGCCACCAUCGUGAGGCGGAGUACGCGGUGGGUGAUUGGGUCUGGCUGCGUCUACUUCACCACUCUACGCAGUCCUUGGACCCACGCGCGAGGAAGAAGCUCGGUCCUUGCUAUGCCGGUCCCUUUGCGAUCCUGGAACGCAUUGGGAAAGUGGCUUACCGUCUGCAGCUUCCGACAGGCGCGUGGAUCCAUGAUGUCUUCCAUGUCGGGCUGCUCAAGCCAUUCCGCGGCGAGCCACCCGCGGCACCGCCGGCCCUUCCACCGAUCACGGACGGGCGUCUCCUUCCUGAGCCAGAGAAGGCGUUGAAGGCUCAGCUGCGCCGAGGCUCCUGGUACGUGUUGAUCCGGUGGACUGGACUACCAGAGGAGGACGCUACUUGGGAGCAGCGCGAGGAGUUCCGCCAGCACUACCCCAACUUUCAGCUCGAGGACGAGAUAUUUGCGCAGGCGGGGAGAGAUGUUAUGACCAGCCAGGUCUAUGGCCGCAGGAGGCCCAAUAGGCAGGCUUAG